rnacentral:rRNA from 1 species
AGCGAACGCUGGCGGCAGGCUUAACACAUGCAAGUCGAGCGGGCACUUUCGGGUGUCAGCGGCGGACGGGUGAGUAACGCGUGGGAACGUGCCCUCUGGUUCGGAAUAACUCAGGGAAACUUGAGCUAAUACCGGAUACGCCCUUUUGGGGAAAGGCUUGCUGCCGGAGGAUCGGCCCGCGUCUGAUUAGCUAGUUGGUGAGGUAACGGCUCACCAAGGCGACGAUCAGUAGCUGGUAUGAGAGGAUGAUCAGCCACACUGGGACUGAGACACGGCCCAGACUCCUACGGGAGGCAGCAGUGGGGAAUAUUGGACAAUGGGCGCAAGCCUGAUCCAGCCAUGCCGCGUGAGUGAUGAAGGCCUUAGGGUUGUAAAGCUCUUUUAUCCGGGACGAUAAUGACGGUACCGGAGGAAUAAGCCCCGGCUAACUUCGUG